ensembl:lncRNA
CUCAGUGUCCCAUUGGCACAGGGGGCACAGGACUGCCCACCGAGUGUGGUGAAGGGCCUCAUGGGCAGAACUCACGAGGAGGCACCCUGGGGGCUAACGGGAUAGAAACAGUGGGACGGAAGUCUGGGGUCACCUUCAAAUGGGAACCCAGCACGAGGGUCCCAGGACGGCCUUCAGCUGCUGGGCCUCUGCAAUCCUGAAGAGCUGCCAGACCUCAGCGUCAGGACGCGGUGACUGUCCCAGGUUUAGCACGAGCACCGGCUGGGAAGGUGUCCUGAGUGAAAUCACCACCUCGUGCAGACGCCCCACCCCGGGCCCGGUCCCUUGGUCUGCAUGUCUGCUCACCCACGUCCCUCCCCAUCCUGAGCCGCAGAGGGCAGGGACCCGCAGAGCAGGCGCUCAGUCAAUGCUCACAAACGCGGAGUGAGCUGUGAGUAACGGAGUCUGAUGCUCUCGGGGCCUGUCUGUGCCAGGCCCCAGGACCACGCCAACCAGACUUGCUCUGACAGGAGCCACCUUCGUGCAGGGGGCGCCACAUGCUGCUUUUAGGCAAUGGGGGAGGUGGGACAGGCCACCCCACUGAGGCACCGGCUGGUCACACGGUUCACACCCCUUCCCGAUUCACAGCUUCUGUCCCUGCGUUCAAAGCCAGAACCCCGACAAGGAGUGUGACGAGCAGGCCUGAACCCACCUGCAGAGCCAGGGACCGCGGGGCUCUGGGACCAGGGGGUUUUGGCCAGGCCCCACCCACAUCUGGGCCCAGACCAGGAGGUGCUGCAGGCUCCAGUCGGCCUCCAGGUGCGACAGGAGCAGCCCCUGCCGGACGAGGCAAAGCCACAGCCAGCCCGACCGCAGGACAUUCACGGGUGCCACCGUGCCAGGCACGUACCAUCGGGACGCCCUCCCUACAGUAGCCUGGGGACAGGGCUGCCAGACUCAGCAAAGAAACAUACAGGCUCAGUUAAAUUUAACCCGAGAGGAGCAACAAAUCCUCUUUAGCACAAGUACCUCCCAAACCUCACAGACACACUGACGCUAAAGCACCUGCCACCUGCUAUCAGAGCUGGCUGUCCUGUUCACCUGGCAGUCCCACCCAGGAGCCACACACCAGGAGAACAAGGACUCGACGGCGGGGUCAGGUCUGGGCAGAUUCAGAGCCUGGCGUCCUCCACACGGCCUGGCGGGGAGGCUGAGGCUCGGGGAAAGUGCCGGCACAGGGCUGCCAGCUCCUGGCCACCUUCUCCUGCCCCCAGAGGCGCCUCGGCGAGUCCAGCUCCAGAUGCGCCCUGGCAGCGCCCGGCUCCCUCGGACUGGAGCGGCCAGAGUGAGGUGCCUCCAGGCGCCUCACUCGUGUCUCCACGUUUGGUUAAAACACAGAUGGCCGCCAAAGACCAUCCCAAGUGAAAACAAUGGAUAAGCUAAAACAACAAUAAAAACAUAACUUCUCUUUACGGCCAAGAGCUGCGCAUAGUAAGGCACCUGUCCCAGGGCUGGUAGUGAGGAGGAGCCCAUCCCUGGCGGAGGACGCGGGUGAGGUGCUAGCAUGGCUGCCAAAUCUGGAGGAGUCCGGAGGCUCCUGCCUGUCGGGCCUGGAUGGAAACUGGAGAAGCCAGCCAGCAGGAAGGGCUUGAUUCCGCCACCAAGUCACCUGAGCCAGAGGGGAGGCGAGACCGCGGAGCUGAGUGUGAGGAGGGCCGCACGUCACCUCGGCCGCCGAGAAGCCGCUCCCGGGGUAAAGCUGCGUCCAUCUACUCGACGAAGGUCCAGCAUCCAGUCAAAGCCACGGGCACCACCAGCAACAACGGAGACUUAGUCGUCAGCGUGAGCCGGGGUCAGCACGGUCUCUCCCGGCCCCGGCCCAGCUGGUGUCCCCACUGCAGCCAUCUCCCCAUGGCACAGCCCCCCAGAGAGGCCUCCGGAGUCUUCCAUCGCCCAGGAGCUCACCGCCCACCCGCCCCAGACCCGGCAGCCCCUCCUUCCACACACGCGCUCUCUGCUCCCAGAGCGCCAGGCCCUCCCCGCGAGCCUGUGCUACACCUGUGCCUGGCAAACGACCCACCGCCAUCGGUAAGCCUCCUGCGCAGCGGCAACUGUGCAGCGGCGACUGUGCAGCGAGGGGGGCGGGACAAGGACACACCCAACCCAAGGACCCUCGCUGUAACUCCUGGGGAGACACAUGCGUUCUGCCGGGACCACAGACUGAGGCCGAGGGCCUGGAGCUCCUGGUGGCCGUCGUGGUCACCACGAAGGGAAGUCACCCGAGAACGAAGGGACAAGGAAGCAAAACUAAGAGAAGCAGCAAAAUAUCGUGACCGUGACGAUCCUGACUCCUGAAGCCGCCGGCCCCGGGACCGCCCAGGCACUGAGGCCCUGUCACCUCAGCACUCUCGAGACCAAGGAGACAGACGCCAAAGAGGCCUGCUGAGCGGCCAGGGUCACGGGACAGCCCGGCCGCAGCACGCGGACAAUCCAACACCAAGCGAAGGACUCGUGUAGAACAGCAGGCGAGACGGGAGGAGCUGUGACCCACAAUCUGGAGAAACAGUCAAGAGAAGGUCCAGAAACAACCCGAUGCUGAAGCAGACCCUGCUCAACAGGAUGAAGAGCGCAGAGGAAAACGGGAAAAAAACGGAGAAUCGCAGCCGAGAAAUGGAAAAGAUCACGUGCGAAUGCCAGAACCGAGACAAGCAUGUGAGCUAACGCCCCGUGGCCACACGGUGUCUGGAACCCCAGAGAAGAGGACGGUGACCUCCAAGACAGGUCAGGGAAACCCCAACUGAAACAGGGAGGGCAGGGGGCACCGGGCCCGGGGGACAGAAUCCCAGGGCCCCCGUGGAGAGAGCAGUGACCGCCGGAGCGGCCCACACAGCAAAGGGCCGGCCCUCAGGUCCAGGGCGCGCCGGCACAGAACUGCGCCCAGCCCGGCCCAGCGCCGGAGGAAUGCCCGUCAGGGGGGACGGACGUGGCACUUUCAGAGACACGAGCCAGACGGACAGACUUCUCAGCAGAAGCAAGAGAAACCAGGAGCGCACGAUCAUCCUCAAAAUGCCAAGAAAAGAAAGUCGUCCUGAAGCCACGUCCAGCAACACUGAGGAGCACUUCAAAGCAUGGCCCCUCAGAAGGAGCGCCAAGCGCACGCGCACAAACCCCGGGGCGGCCCCACCUAGACCCGCAGACGCACAGGAGGAGCGAGCCCGGAAAGGGCGGACCCCCAACUCCACACACGCCGACCCCAACCCCGUCAGAACAGCCAGAGUCCACCCACGGACCACCCGAGGCCGCGAGGUCGCAGAGCAACGGGGAUGCGCCACCGCGGGGGGCCCAUGUGCAGCCACUGGAGUCAGCGGGGUGGUUUCUCAGCCACACUCGCUUCAGACAUGAUGCCGCUCCUGAGAUUCACUCCAACGAGCCAAAAACCUGUGUCUGAACACAAACCUGCUUCACCCACAGCCACCCAGCCUACAGCAGCCGAGACGCCCCCGGGGCCAGCGGACACACAGACUGCCCAUCCCAACGGGACCAAGAGAAAUGAGCCCUCGAGCCACGAGGACAUGGAGGAGCCUUAAGUGCACAGGAGGGAGCAAAGGAGGCCGCACGCCGAGCGCACACGGCACGGAGGCACAUCCUGAUCACAGCGCACGCGACUAGCACGAGAUGAGACCCCAGAACCGCCAGGGUGAGCAGGCACAGACGGGAUGAGGGCAGACCAUCAGCAGAGGCAGAGCGACCAGGAGAUGCAGGACUGAGAGGGAAGGGCCACGGACUGACCUCCACCUCGUGGCUCUCAGACCCCUCAGCCCACGACCAGCUCCGCAGGGACCAGACCCCAAGUCGGAGCGCCCAGCCUCUCCCACCUGCUGGACACAGCGGUCGUGGCCAUCCUCCCCUCGCGGCCUCUGCUCCCUCGGUCCAGGCCUGUCCCCUCCCGGCCAAGUUCCCGGCCGCCGCCAGCCUGUCCGCGGCCACCACAGGCCUCUGAACACGGAGCCCUGGCCACCCUCAGGGGCUGCAGACCCAGAACCAGACCUGCCGCCC